ACUGUCGUGCAGAUUUCAGUCGAUUGCAGGAUUUGCAAAGCAUGUGCACCGCCAACUCGUUGUCAACAGAUAUUUUUCAAAUCAUUUCAUGUUUUUAAUCAAGGUGCUCGCUUGAUUUGAAGCACUUAACGAUGUAAAACCCGUUUUAUCACAAUAUAGGUCUUCAUUAUCGAUCAGAUCGUCUUGACUGGGCGCCGCCAUUUCGUUUGAAACAAAUGCAAGUGGUACGAGAGGUGGAAUCUGAUUGGUCCAUAGCGAGAGGUUUAGAAUGGCCAUAACUUGUAAUAACCACUGGUGGCGCUACGAUCGAGCCCAGGAAUUCCAGCCUUGUUCGGUAAGGGUGGAAACUGGACUUUUAUAGUCAGUUAACUCUCUUGCCUCGGGAAGAUGACGAACCGGAUGUCGAGUUCGUUACGCGAUUUUGAUUGGACUAUGCAUAAACUCGUUAGACCAGCCAAAGUGUAACUCUAUAAUUGCAGCCUAGUUCGGCAAACGUGGAAAUUUAUAAUUCUGUUCGAGGUAUAUAGAUAUUGCUGUACGUGCCCACAUCGCCAGUACUCGAGGGUUUGUAUACACUUCAUCAACUUCAUGUAACUCCAUCACAAAGCUAGCCCAAUAGUCAAAGGCGCCACAAGUUGCAAUGCAGAAUUACAUGCCGUCAUGGGUUCGAAUCCCCGUUCGCCUGAUUAUGUUUCUUGGUUUGUGAGUACCAUUAUAGUAUCAUUCGAUGGACUGCACUGUCGUCCCUCUGGAUAGAAGAAACCGUGCAUUCUUUCUUACACCAACAUCAUCUAUUUUUUAUGUAAAUAUUGACCUCGGAAAAGUACAGAUUGAAAUGCUGUAAUUGUUGAAAUAAAACGCGGGAUGUAUAUGAUUGCCAAUGUAUGUUCGAUGAGCGUGUAUGAACGGAACACCAGGAUGUGUAGCAUGUAUUUGUGGUUACUCCUGUUAAAUUGAGGCUUGUAUAGACAAGAUAACAACACCCGAAGUGUAUAAUAAAUUAUAUGUUUUU